UCCUCUCCUUUGCGCCGCUGCCGCCCGUCAUCCUCCCCCGCAUCACGCGCGCACGCGCCCCACUCCAUCCUCGCCGCCCGUCCUCCUCCUCUCCUCUGCGUCGUCGCCGUUGUCCAUCGCCACCGCGCCCUCCUCCUCCUUCCACCUCCUAGCCCGCGCCCAAUCUCCGCAGCCCUUCUUCCCUCCCUGCGCCCGAAACCCUAGCCCCCAACCAUGGUGCCCGAAUCUGCAGGAGGUGUAGCAGAGAGGUCCCAGUGACCACGGCGGCGCAUUCGCGGCCGGUCCACCUCGGGCUGCUUCUCCACCACCACGCACUUGCCCCGCGUGCGCUCCUUCUCUCCCGGGAGUGGGCCGCAGCCAUGGAGAGUGGCCAGAGGAUCAAGGACGGCCAACCCCUACCUCCUCUCCAGCACGCUCGUCUUUGCCAUCUCUGCCGAAAAAGGAGACGGGAGCAAGAUGAGAAGACGAAGGAGAAGCCCUGCCAUCUCUGCCCCGUCCACUGCGUUGAGCGCGGCGACCGUCUGGGCUCUGCUUAUGCACCCCCAAACUAUUCACCUCCACGCCCCUUCCAAUCUCCCCAUCCCUUUCUUGCAAGUAUCCACACUCUCUCUUCCUCCUGAUUAACCUGCCCCCCAUUCAUGCCCUCCUCUUAUUUGAUUUAACCACAAGAAUUUCUUAUCUUUGUUUGUGCAGAUCCUUUUUGUGUAUGCCUACAAGUUGUUCGAUAAAAAUCCAAGCAGGUAUGCUUAGUAACGUCAAAGAGAUGCCGCCCAUUACAAAUUAUGAUAUUCAUCAUUACACAUUAGCACCACCAUGGAUAGCCAAGAUCCUUCCCAGCCAUGAUAAUCAGAGUGAACUUUGCUGUCAUUUUCAUCUAUCCAUCCAGAGGAAGUAGAUGAUUGAUAGAGAUUCGGAGAAAGCAAUUAAUAAAUGAAGAUCUCGAGGCUCCUAUUUCUUCAGAUUCAUUGCUAGCCCCACAAAGGAAGAGGAUGCCAGGACGAGGACUGUAAUCAAUCCCCACCUUACUGUCCCAACGACAGUGUCAAUGACUCCGAGCCUAGCAUUGUCGUCUUAUUUUCAUGACGGCGUGGUGUCUCGACGCGUGAUGGAUUCACUCACACGGAGGAAGCUUUUCUCCGCUACUCCGGUGACAAGCGCACAAGCUUUUGGGUCCAUGGCGCCACCGGUAAACAAGCCUGACAACAAAAGAAAGGGAUGUUGCCCCGUUAUCGUCGUCAUCCUCACGGUUAGUUACAUGAUCUCAAGUCUCUCUCUCCAAUUUGCUAAUGGUAGUCCUAUGUAUGACUUGGUAGACGAGAUGUGGGUUCCAAUAGCCUCUCAAGAUUAUAAGUAGAUUUCAUAUAUUU